rnacentral:rRNA from 1 species
UACGUAGGGUGCGAGCGUUGUCCGGAAUUACUGGGCGUAAAGAGCUCGUAGGUGGUUUGUCGCGUUGUUCGUGAAAACUCACAGCUCAACUGUGGGCGUGCGGGCGAUACGGGCAGACUGGAGUACUGCAGGGGAGACUGGAAUUCCUGGUGUAGCGGUGGAAUGCGCAGAUAUCAGGAGGAACACCAAUGGCGAAGGCAGCUCGCUGGAACGGUACUGACGCUGAGGCGCGAAAGCGUGGGGAGCGAACAGG